ensembl:lncRNA
CCAAGGAUGGGGGCGGGCCUAGCCCUGCGGUCGCGGAGAGGCUGGGGAAGUGGAGCUGAGUUGGCUAAAGGGACCAGCGAGGAGAUGAAGAAACUGCUUAGAGAAACUAAGUUUACACACCUUGAGAAUAACCAGGAUUUGAAUUUAGAAUCAUCGUUCUUCAGUCACCAUGCUGUGAUGGUGACUGCCCCGUGAAACUAAAAGAUGCUUCCUCCUUGGAAGAAAAGCUAUGACCAACCUAGACAGCAUAUUAAAAAUCAGAGACAUUACUUUGCUAACAAAAGUGCGUCUAGUCAAAGCUAUAGUUUUUCCAGUAGUUAGAUUUGGAUGUGAGAGUUGGACUAUAAAUAAAGCUAAGCACCAAAGAACUGAUGCUUUUGAACUGUGGUGUUGGAGAAGACUCUUAAGAGUCCCUUGGACUGCAAAGAGAUACAACUAGUCCAUCCCAAAGGAGAUCAGUCCUGGGUGUUCAUUGGAAGGACUGAUGUUGAAGCUGAAACUCCAAUAUUUUGGCCGCCUGAUGCAAAGAAGCGACUCAUUUGAAAAGAUCCUGAUGCUGGGAAAGAUUGAAGACAGGAGGAGAAGGGGACAACAGAGGAUGAGAUGAUUGAAUGGCAUCACCGAUUCAAUGGACAUGAGUUUGAACAAGCUCAUGUUGGUGAUGGACAGGGAAGCCUGGCAUGCUGCAGUCCAUGGGGUUGCAAAGAGUCAGACACGACUAAGCGAC